UCCAGCUUCCUUCCCCCCUGCCUCAUCGAGGGUGAAAAAUCAUUCUCCGGGAUUCUUUGAUCAACAUUGUGGCCUCUAAAUAAUCCACUCUGCCAGCCCAGCUUAACCACCAGAGAUUGUCUUUAAUAGAAUUACACAUUUUCUUCCUAUAAAUUCUCAUAUUUUCUGAUCAGUAAAAACGGGAUUUUAUUAUUGGGCAGUCUAAUUUUUGAAUGAAUUUCUCCCGGUGUGACCUGUUCUCGGGAAAAUUUUAUUGAGGAAGUGGCACAAUCGUCGGAUCCAUGACGAAAAUUGCCCAAAACACGGUCAUUGUCCGGAAGCGGUAAAAAGUCACCAAUAAAAAAGAACACGACCACAAUUACACGGCGCAACACGAAGAAAAAAAAAAUACCGGAGAGAGACGAGAGAUGUUACUCACCUCGAUUGAAUCCCUUUUCUGGAUUGACCGGAUGUUUAAGGUAUUGUCCCAUGCGAAAAAGCGGUGUCACCCCGGAGGGAUGUGUUCCAAUUCAUUGUCUGGCAUUUAGGAAGGCGAAAGCUCCCGUCGAAGCCGGAAAAUUCUCUGGCAUUGUCGAGACGUGUAAAAAGGAAACUAUCGAAGCGAGGAUUUUAUUGCGAUUGGAUAAUGAAAUGAAUCGCGAAGUGGAAAAAUGAAAACUUGCGGGGGUACAUUAUGAACUUUCCCGAG